GACGAACGCUGGCGGCGUGCUUAACACAUGCAAGUCGAACGAUGAAGAAAAGAAUUGAAGCUUCGGCAGAAAUUCAUUUCGGAUUAGUGGCAGACGGGUGAGUAACGCGUGAGCAACCUACCUCUUACAAAGGGAUAGCCUCGGGGAACCGGGAUUAAUACCAUAUAACAUUGCGACGAAGCAUUUCGAUGCAAUCAAAGCUACGGCGGUAAGAGAUGGGCUCGCGUCCCAUUAACCAGAUGGUGAGGUAACGGCUCACCAUAGUAACGAUGGGUAACCGGCCUGAGAGGGUGAACGGUCACACUGGAACUGAGACACGGUCCAGACUCCUACGGGAGGCAGCAGUGGGGAAUAUUGCACAAUGGAGGGAACUCUGAUGCAGCGACGCCGCGUGAGUGAUGAAGGAAUUCGUUUCGUAAAACUCUGUUCUAUGGGAAGAAAAGGACUGUACCAUAGGAGAAAGCUCCGGCUAAAUACGUG
rnacentral:rRNA from 1 species